CAAACUUAUUAGUGUCACUUAUUGUAGCAGCGUAGAAUUUUCGAAGCGAUGGAAUAUGUGCUGCAAGCAAAUCCAAAACUAUGGACGCAAACGCUUCCAAAUGGAACACAAAUCAUUCACACACCAGAUAUUACGUUUAAUGUCACUUUUUUGCGUGCAAUUAAACCUUUUGGUCAACACAAGCACGAGAAUUGGAACGACAUGGCGUGUGUCAACUGGGUUUUGCCAAUGAGCUAGAGGGCAAAGCAGUUUCAGUAUCUUUGAGCUUACCGGCACUUGGCCGUGCCAUUAGCAGCUAAAACACAGAAAUUAAAGGGAGGACUUUUUUGAUUCAUUUUCAACUUGUGUUGAGAAACCAUAACGUUGUUGUAUCGCUUUACAAGGACAUAAAUUCACCGAAAUUAGUUCAAUGGAAAUACUACAGCAAGAGCAUGGAUGUUAAGACUUGAACGGUGCCGUGUUAGAUUUAGAAUUCCUGAAACAUAAGAAACCCUCCUCCCAGAUGAAUCUAGUACUAGUGAAAUUAAUGAAAGAACAGAUAUUAUAAAAACUCCGAAAGAAACCAAAAGAGUCCUCACAUAAUGUGCGCAGCUUACACUUCCAGACCGCACGG